ensembl:lncRNA
GAGAGGCCGAGCCCAGCGGGGCCAGAGGGCGGCCGAGCGGCGUAGAUCUGAGCCCCAGCUCCCUCGGCCCGCAGUGCGUGGAAGGGGCGAUCCCGACGCGGACUUGAAAGGCGGCCAGCCGGACCCGUGCCCGCAUCCUCCCCGGCGACGCUCGGAGCUUGCUGCAGCCGCCAAGCACGGGGCACCAUCGGAUUCAGGCAGCACCCAGUGCGGGCCGCGGAGAGGGGACCACAGUUCGGCUCUGGCCACCUCGGGUGCGGGGCAGCCAGGUUAGCCCGCCGCUUGUGCCCAAAGCUCCUGAUGUUAGCGGCCUCUGCAGAGAUACCGCUUCAGACCCCCCAGGAACGCAAUGAUUUGGUCUGGCACUUCAUGGUGCCACCUUAUACCAUCGCCAUAAUCCUCCAGGGUGAAAGAAUUAUCAGCCCUAUUCUAUAGAGGAAGCCAUGUCCGACUCUUUGCGGCCGCAUGGACUGCAGUCGGCCAGGCUCCGUGGACAGAGCAAAGAGUCUGACACGACUGAGAGGCUAAGCACAGAGCACAGCACUGAGAUGGAGAAACCGAGGUUCCAAGAGCGCCCCUGCCUGUGGAUUCUUUACCGUCUAAGCCGCCAGAGAAAAUGGAAGUGCUGGGAGUUGAAGUAAUUGGCCCAUAAAACAUUUAGCUACCAGGGAAGAAACAGAGAUGGAGAUAAAACUUAGGUCUUUCUCCAGGGCUUUUUCCAGUGAGCCAUGAGGUCUCUCUGCAAGCAGAUUGCAGACACUUUGAAGGUAGGGCUGAUGUCCUGAAGCUUUUCUGGAUCUUCCCUUUGCUCGAGUGGAAUGGCUACUUGACUAACUAUGAAGGCUGAUGUGUGGGAGGGAAAAACCAUCAUCUCAGUCCUGGAAUUGGCCCUGUUGCAGGUAAAUACAGGUAAACACAAGGGUCUAGGCCAUAGGAAUGUUGAUUGCACCAUGACAAUAGUCCCCUUGAGCAGCUGUGGGUUCUAGUCCUGCAUGCGGGCUGCCUCCUGAGACUGCCCUAAGACACAGGGCUUCCCACACCUUGCAUUAGUCAUGGUCUGAGCCUGAAACACUUGCCCCAGCCCAUCCCUAUUUCUUGGCUUUUGGCUUCCUGACUCAUUUUCUCAUUUCGGCCUGGCCUCUUCAUAGCCUUGACCCUCUGAUCUAUUUCCCAACUCUGAUUUCUUCCUUCUCCCUUGAUGACAUUGAUCAUUAGCCUCUGGAGCGGUGUCUCAGGUGGCUCUGACCUUGUCCCUGAACCCCAGAUGGUGUCCAGAGAUGAGAGAGAAGCAGAGUAUCCAAGGACGAGAAUCUCCUGCUUCCUGGCUGGUAGGGAAAGGGGCAGCAGGCAGCAUGGGCCAAAGGCCUUUGCCCUUUAUAGCAUGGACGUGUGCUGUGCC